AGCUUCACACUGUGGCCGUGUCACCGCCAGUGAGGCUUAUCCAAAGCAUGAUGGUUGUCAGUUGAAAACUUUUCCCAAUAAGGCAACACUGGCAAUUUUUGACAAUUUCAAUGAGCAUUGAAUUUUUUUAUAAAAAGAAA
ensembl:snRNA U4 U4 spliceosomal RNA